AGUGAACGCUGGCGGUAGGCCUAACACAUGCAAGUCGAACGGCAGCACAGUAAGCGCUUGCUCUUACGGGUGGCGAGUGGCGGACGGGUGAGGAAUACAUCGGAAUCUACUUUUUCGUGGGGGAUAACGUAGGGAAACUUACGCUAAUACCGCAUACGACCUACGGGUGAAAGCAGGGGCUCUUCGGACCUUGCGCGAUUGACUGAGCCGAUGUCGGAUUAGCUAGUUGGCGGGGGAAAGGCCCACCAAGGCGACGAUCCGUAGCUGGUCUGAGAGGAUGAUCAGCCACACUAGAACUGAGACACGGUCCAGACUCCUACGGGAGGCAGCAGUGGGGAAUAUUGGACAAUGGGCGCAAGCCUGAUCCAGCCAUACCGCGUGGGUGAAGAAGGCCUUCGGGUUGUAAAGCCCUUUUGUUGGGAAAGAAAAGCAGCAGGUUAAUACCCCGCUGUUCUGACGGUACCCAAAGAAUAAGCACCGGCUAACUUCGUG
rnacentral:rRNA from 1 species